UGGAAAGGGGGCCUGCUUAUAUAUCCCUCCUCCAGGGGCCAGGGGGCCUGCUUAUAUAGCCCCUCCAAAUGAACGUGGGCCGUCGAAUCAAACCGACCUUAAUCGCACGGUUUUCCUUAAUCCUUUAGGUCGGUGGAGCAUAAUCCGCGAGACGGGACCUGAUUGGUCCCUGUAGCAAGGCGGGCGCCCAAGGGGGGAGGGCGGGCGCCCUGCCCCCGGGCCCGCUCGGCCUCCCGUUCGUUCCCGUGGCUACUGGAGUCUUCUAGAUGAUAGAAAAUUACGCAGCACGUUAAUAUCUCUAUGUAAACCCGACAUGUGGGCCUUUUCUCCAUAUUUCCUGAUAACCCCCUGCAGAAAUAGACAAACACCAAAACUCGUGGAAUUCUGUCAGAUGAAACCCUAAGUCUGGGUGUUGGUUGCAUUUGGAUCCUUUUCUUUAUUUAUUUGAUGAUUAAAUUUGGUACUUAAGGACCGUCAACAACUCCCCCAAGCUUACCUCUUGCUCGUCCCUGAACAAGGAUGGACUGAAGAGUUUAUGCAGUGGUUUCAUGCCUUAAAAGUACACAUGCGUUCAAGCAAGAUCUCAUCUCUGAGUUAGAGUAAACUGUUAAGACUUAAAACUUACUCAUUUUACCUUUCACCAUGGGGCUUGCAACCGUCACUUGUGUCUUGAGCAGUAAAAAGAUAGAACGGUCAAGUCAAGCGCCAUGUCUCUUAUUCUAGAUCAGCUAUAGCUCUGGAGUUUUUGCAGAUUUUCAAAUAAAACUCAGAGAUUCCUUGUAUGACUCUCUCAAAUCUCUCUUUUGUGGUAUUUCUGGAUCCUUACCAAGGCAGUAAUGGUAUAUGCUUUCUCUCAAAGUAUGUGGUAUUUUUGGUAUGAGGCAUAGUGAUAUUGCCUUCUCUCUCAUCCUAUUCUAAUAAGGUUUUGAUAUCUGGAGCUCAUAGGUGGGAGACAGAUAAUACAUACUUACAAGACAUUUAUUGCAUAGUCAAACCAUGGAUCAAGAGAAACAAGUCAAUAAGUCAAAUCAAGAUGUGCAUGUAUGGCGAAUGAAUGGUGUAUGGUGAUAACAAUUGUGAAAGUCUAAUUCUACUUCUUCUCUUUUAAGGGGAUACAUACCUUUCUUGCACUUUGAAGCUUUUUGAGGAGAAUGAGAUUCUCUAUAUUUUCUUUUUCUUUUCUCUCAGGUGGGUAUCUUAUACCCCUAAUUCUACUGUCGGACACUUGUCCAUUUUUACCUCUCGUCUCACUUUUUCUUUUCUUCGAGGUUCCGGGCACUUGCCCCUUUUUAUUUACUCAUAUUUUCUUUUUCUUUUUUUUCAGAGCACUCACCCUCCUAGAAUAAUGUAGCAAGUGGUAGUAACCAAAAUAUCUCGAGCAUUUAUUUCACAGGGAAUAAUAGGGAUAGGAAAAAGUUUUUGGCUAUUCUCUCCCGGAUAGGAGUAGAAUUAUUUUAGGUGAAUCUGGAGAUGGAAUUGAGUGGAUGUAUGUGGAUGCGUACUUCCAGAGUAGAAGUAGCAUGUAUGAGUGAACGUGGAAGUGGAUCUUGAUUUUAACUGCAUGACAAGCUUCUAAGGGUCUACACAGCUUGACCACACUCAAUGCUCAUAAGCAGUAAAAAGUAAAUGUGUGGCUCAAAGUCUAGCAAGCAUGUAUAUAUGGCUGUGGUAGGAAUUUAAACUCUCAUCAUACAGGAACUCAUCAUGCAAUAUUUUAAAAAUUUUCAAAGAUAAUAUUCUCCAGAAUUCUAGCAUUUCUAGAAACAGAUAAACAACAGCUCAACCUUCCCAUAUCAUAUCUGUUAACCACUUAGAUUUUAGAUCAAGUACUCUUCCCACAAGUUAAGGUUUAGAGCAAAUCUUAGUUCAUAAAAGUCAUGCCUAAACUUGAGAGAGAUUUCAAUUUUGAGAACUAGGUACAUGGGAGAGCAACUAUUUAUCAUAUCCAUGUAAGAGUUUUUUGUUUAAGUUCAGUUUGGCCUAGACACUUUAUUUAUUUAUUUAGCAAACUAAGCAAAGAUAUAUAUAAGCACAAAAUUUUUAUUUAGGUUUUCAUGAUUAUGCAUCUUUUUUAUUAUUUGAGUAAAGUAUAAACGCGAGUAAAAACACUUAGCUGGAUAAAUGGGGGUGCUCUCCCCCAAGCUGGAUUUUGACAUAAUUUCUUCUGAUAUAGCUAGCAGGUGACGGAGGUGUAUUUGAAUGUCGGGAGCACCCUGACAGCGAUUACUAUGUCCUCCGCCGGCUAGUCUUAUUUAAUCCUUGAAUUCUGUGGAGCUCAAAUAGACAACAAAGCUUUGUGGAACUGGUUAAGUGUUAGCAUAAAAUCUCUUAGCCUUUAUCAUAUUGAGAUUCCUCCUAAUAAAUUUUAUUUAUUUAGCAGGAUCAUGCACUUAUUAUUUUUAUAUUUUUAUUGUAAGAUGAAAACAUAUUUAUUUUAUGCCACCAUAGUCAAUAUACCUAUUGGUUUUAAACCACAAGUCUACUCACAUGGGGCUUUAGAUUUUAUGAUGCAGUGCAACGAACAAAUAUUUUCACCAGAAAUGCUUGUUGAUAUUUGUUAACGCCAUCAGGAAAUGAUCCACAAGCGCAUGGAUAUCGGUGAGCACUUCACCCGGGAGGUUAUCCAGAGUAUCGUAUUUAUAUUUUUACCACUGGGAGAAAGCGUGCAUCUGACUAACUAAAUCUAUUGCUACUACCCUUUAGGCUACAAACAAUGUGAUUUGAUGUGAGCGAUGUAUAGAGAAGACUACAACCACACUCUCAUUCUAACCUUGGUAAUGAUGAUCUACUGUUCUAUUGGGGAGGCUUACGGAAUCUAGACACCACAAAGGAUGUUCGACCCGCACCUAUAGACCCUACCGAUCCUGCUAACGGGAUUGUGGGCUACAAAGGUAGCUAUGGAAAUGUCACGUUCCUUGCUACUACCAUGGUCC
rnacentral:lncRNA from 1 species